rnacentral:rRNA from 1 species
ACGGGUGAGUAAUAUAUCGGAACGUGCCCAGUUGUGGGGGAUAGCCCGGCGAAAGCCGGAUUAAUACCGCAUACGACCUGAGGGUGAAAGCGGGGGAUCGCAAGACCUCGCGCAAUUGGAGCGGCCGAUAUCAGAUUAGCUAGUUGGUGGGGUAAAGGCCUACCAAGGCGACGAUCUGUAGCUGGUCUGAGAGGACGACCAGCCACACUGGGACUGAGACACGGCCCAGACUCCUACGGGAGGCAGCAGUGGGGAAUUUUGGACAAUGGGCGCAAGCCUGAUCCAGCCAUGCCGCGUGCGGGAAGAAGGCCUUCGGGUUGUAAACCGCUUUUGUCAGGGAAGAAACGGUCUGACCUAAUACGUUGGACUAAUGACGGUACCUGAAGAAUAAGCACCGGCUAACUACGUGCCAGCAGCCGCGGUAAUACGUAGGGUGCAAGCGUUAAUCGGAAUUACUGGGCGUAAAGCGUGCGCAGGCGGCUAUGCAAGACAGAUGUGAAAUCCCCGGGCUCAACCUGGGAACUGCAUUUGUGACUGCAUGGCUAGAGUACGGUAGAGGGGGAUGGAAUUCCGCGUGUAGC